AACGAACGCUGGCGGCAGGCUUAACACAUGCAAGUCGAGCGCCCCGCAAGGGGAGCGGCAGACGGGUGAGUAACGCGUGGGAAUCUACCCAUCUCUACGGAAUAACGCAUGGAAACGUGUGCUAAUACCGUAUACGUCCUACGGGGGAAAGAUUUAUCGGAGAUGGAUGAGCCAGCGUUGGAUUAGCUAGUUGGUGGGGUAAGGGCCUACCAAGGCGACGAUCCAUAGCUGGUCUGAGAGGAUGAUCAGCCACACUGGGACUGAGACACGGCCCAGACUCCUACGGGAGGCAGCAGUGGGGAAUAUUGGACAAUGGGCGCAAGCCUGAUCCAGCCAUGCCGCGUGAGUGAUGAAGGCCCUAGGGUUGUAAAGCUCUUUCACCGGUGAAGAUAAUGACGGUAACCGGAGAAGAAGCCCCGGCUAACUUCGUGCCAGCCGCCGCGGUAAAAC
rnacentral:rRNA from 1 species